GCUUAACACAUGCAAGUCGAGGGGCAUCAGGAAGAAAGCUUGCUUUCUUUGCUGGCGACCGGCGCACGGGUGAGUAACACGUAUCCAACCUGCCCUUUACUCGGGGAUAGCCUUUCGAAAGAAAGAUUAAUACCCGAUGGCAUAAUGAUUCCGCAUGGUUUCAUUAUUAAAGGAUUCCGGUAAAGGAUGGGGAUGCGUUCCAUUAGGUUGUUGGUGAGGUAACGGCUCACCAAGCCUUCGAUGGAUAGGGGUUCUGAGAGGAAGGUCCCCCACAUUGGAACUGAGACACGGUCCAAACUCCUACGGGAGGCAGCAGUGAGGAAUAUUGGUCAAUGGGCGCUAGCCUGAACCAGCCAAGUAGCGUGAAGGAUGAAGGCUCUAUGGGUCGUAAACUUCUUUUAUAUAAGAAUAAAGUGCAGUAUGUAUACUGUUUUGUAUGUAUUAUAUGAAUAAGGAUCGGCUAACUCCGUGCCAGCAGCCGCGGUAAUACGGAGGAUCCGAGCGUUAUCCGGAUUUAUUGGGUUUAAAGGGAGCGUAGGUGGACUGGUAAGUCAGUUGUGAAAGUUUGCGGCUCAACCGUAAAAUUGCAGUUGAUACUGUCAGUCUUGAGUACAGUAGAGGUGGGCGGAAUUCGUGGUGUAGCGGUGAAAUGCUUAGAUAUCACGAAGAACUCCGAUUGCGAAGGCAGCUCACUGGACUGCAACUGACACUGAUGCUCGAAAGUGUGGGUAUCAAACAGGAUUAGAUACCCUGGUAGUCCACACAGUAAACGAUGAAUACUCGCUGUUUGCGAUAUACAGUAAGCGGCCAAGCGAAAGCAUUAAGUAUUCCACCUGGGGAGUACGCCGGCAACGGUGAAACUCAAAGGAAUUGACGGGGGCCCGCACAAGCGGAGGAACAUGUGGUUUAAUUCGAUGAUACGCGAGGAACCUUACCCGGGCUUAAAUUGCAGUGGAAUGAUGUGGAAACAUGUCAGUGAGCAAUCACCGCUGUGAAGGUGCUGCAUGGUUGUCGUCAGCUCGUGCCGUGAGGUGUCGGCUUAAGUGCCAUAACGAGCGCAACCCUUAUCUUUAGUUACUAACAGGUUAUGCUGAGGACUCUAGAGAGACUACCGUCGUAAGAUGUGAGGAAGGUGGGGAUGACGCCAAAUCAGCACGGCCCUUACGUCCGGGGCUACACACGUGUUACAAUGGGGGGUACAGAAGGCAGCUAGCGGGUGACCGUAUGCUAAUCCCAAAAGCCUCUCUCAGUUCGGAUCGAAGUCUGCAACCCGACUUCGUGAAGCUGGAUUCGCUAGUAAUCGCGCAUCAGCCACGGCGCGGUGAAUACGUUCCCGGGCCUUGUACACACCGCCCGUCAAGCCAUGGGAGCCGGGGGUACCUGAAGUACGUAACCGCAAGGAUCGUCCUAGGGUAAAACUGGUGACUGGGGCUAAGUCG
rnacentral:rRNA from 1 species